UGUUAACUGCUAGUGAUGAUUUUAUGAGUAGGAAUCUCAUUGAGCUUCAGUCAUGCGUUGCUAUGAAAUCAAUUUUUCUCUUACUGAACGUUAAGCA